AUUAAUCUCUUUUAGGGUAGGGUUUGGGAUUUUAUUUUUUUAUUUAUUUUUUAAGAUUUUUUUAUUUUAAAGAGUGGGGGGGAAGGGCAGGGGAGAGAAUCUCAGGCAGACUGCCCGCUGAGCACACAGUAGGGCUCCAUCUCACCAUCCUGAGAUCAUGACCCUGAGAUCAAGACCUGAGCUGAAAUCAACAGUUGGACACUUAACUGACUGAGCCAACUGAGUGCCCCAGGCUUGGGCUUUUAAGUCAAAGUAGAAGAUCAUGAGAAGCAAAGGACCAAGGACCAAGGACUGAAAGACGGACUUUCCCAAGAUCUAUAACCAGCUAGUAGCAGGAACUAUUACAGAGAAGAAAUAUGGGUACUAUGGUGGAUCAUUUAUAUACUUUAUUCAAAGAGUAAGGAUAUGAGACAUGAUCUGAUGUGCAUUUUCCAAAGAUCUUCUGGCUUCAGUGAACAAAUCAGAUUCAAGAUAUUUUUGGCAAUGGACUGAUGUGCAUGAUAGGGGAGACUCAAAGGUCACUGGCUUAUGUAACUGGAUGGAUAACACAUGUCAUUACAGAUACAUGGAGGCCAUGGGAGAAAGCUCUGGAGCACUGGGGAUUAUGAAUUUAGUUUAUAACAUGUUAAUUUUGACAUGCCUGUGAGGAUGUUAAGAAGAUAGCUGGAUAUGCGGGUAUGGACCUAAGAGAUGAAGUAUGGACUGGAGCACUUGCUAGACCUAGAGUUUUAUAUGCUGUUCUGCACUUAAAGCCAACAAUGAAAAAUAUGUCAAAAGUUCAUAGAAGGCCUUCAAGUGAGAGAUUCAAAAUAAAAUCUAUAGGAAAGGUCAUAUCAGUGGUUCCCAAACUUCUAGAUACCACAGACCAGUAAAAUUAAGACAGAUAAACAAUUGGGGAAUUGGUAUAAACUUGCCAACUUUUGUCAACUAAAGACAUUUUUUAAAAAUACUACCCACUGUCGUCAUAAUGUCAAAGAAAAAUAUUUCCUACUCUCUCCCUCCCAAAAAACAUCCCUGUAUUAGGUAAUUCUCUUAAAAAGGAAUAAAUUUAGCUUUAUGAAGCAAUAUCCUUUAUAUUAUUUUUCUGUAAAUCUGUGAAAACUUCAUCUCACACCAGUACUGUGGGAAAAUGUUUGGCAAGAAGUGGGAUACAGGACUUGGGAUAUUUCAGCUUCAUGAAUAAAGAAAGAUGAAAGUU